UACGUAGGGGGCGAGCGUUGUCCGGAAUUAUUGGGCGUAAAGAGCUCGUAGGCGGCUUGGCAAGUCGGAUGUGAAAACUCCAGGCUCAACCUGGAGCCGCCAUUCGAUACUGCUAUGGCUAGAGUCCGGUAGGGGAGUGUGGAAUUCCCGGUGUAGCGGUGAAAUGCGUAGAGAUGUGGAGAAACACCGAUGGCGAAGGCAGCCCCCUGGGUCAAGAUUGACGCUCAUGCACGAAAGCGUGGGGAGCAAACAGG
rnacentral:rRNA from 1 species